AUGCUUAUGAUGCGGUGCCUUCCGAGUUCCCUGGAACGGGACGCCAUAGAGGGUGAGAGCCCCGUCUGGUUGGAUGCCAAAUCUCUGUAAAGCUCCUUCGACGAGUCGAGUAGUUUGGGAAUGCUGCUCUAAAUGGGAGGUAUAUGUCUUCUAAAGCUAAAUACCGGCCAGAGACGGAUAGCGCACAAGUAGAGUGAUCGAAAGAUGAAAAGCACUUUGACAAGAGAGUUAAAAAGUACGUGAAAUUGUUGAAAGGGAAGCGUUUAUGACCAGACUUGGGCUUGGUUAAUCAUCUGGGGUUCUCCCCAGUGCACUUUUCCAGUCCAGGCCAGCAUCAGUUUUCGCCGGGGGAUAAAGGCUUCGGGAAUGUGGCUCUCUCCGGGGAGUGUUAUAGCCCG
rnacentral:rRNA from 1 species